rnacentral:rRNA from 1 species
UAGUCCCAGCCGUAAACGAUGUGCACUUGGUGUGGGGGGUGUUUGUCCCCUCCGUGCCGGAGCUAACGCGUUAAGUGCACCGCCUGGGGAGUACGGCCGCAAGGCUAAAACUCAAAGGAAUUGACGGGGCCCGCACAAGCGGUGGAGCAUGUGGCUUAAUUCGAUGCAACGCGAAGAACCUUACCAGGGCUUGACAUGUAGCUGCACGCCUCGCGAAAGCGGGGAAGCCUUCGAGGGUGCUACACAGGUGCUGCAUGGCUGUCGUCAGCUCGUGCCGUGAGGUGUUGGGUUAAGUCCCGCAACGAGCGCAACCCUUAUGAUUAGUUGCUACCAGAAGCUUGCUUGCUGAGCACUCUAAUCAGACUGCCCGUGACAAGCGGGGAGGAAGGGUGGGGGAUGACGUCAAGUCAGUAUGGUCCUUACGCCCUGGGGCUGCACACGUGCUACAAUGGGACGGUAUAA